AUCCUCAUUGACCAGAAGGAAUCCCUUCCAGUCAAUGAGGUGAAUCUUCCUCAUUGACCAGAAGGAAUCCCUUCAGGUCAAUGAGGUU
rnacentral:miRNA from 1 species